AUUCAGGUGUUCAUGGUUUCCAAUAGAAAAAUCUGUAACCUUUUCCCGUCUCUUUAGCUCCACCAUCAAUCCAAUCACUAAAUUACGCUCCACCUCCCCUCCCACUCACUCCAUCUCAAUUUAUUCAAUUAAGAUUCUCCACCUUCUCUGUAAACCGUCGAUGUCUUAUAUAUAACAUCUUCAUGCUGCAAAGGAAACUCACAGUUUCGGCUUCUCCCUGUAAGUUUAGCAUGUCAAAUAGGAAUACGAAAGGUGCAAUCUUGUGUCUUAUUUCUCAAAAUCAAGUGGAGAAACAAACGGAAGUUGUCUUAAUCAGAGGAGAGAGAAGUUAGCCAUGCAACUCUGAAAUGUCUCAUAAGAGCGAGGAAGAUGACGAAGAUGACAAAGGAAGUGGCGAAUGGAGUGCUGCUCUCUGGGGUUAUAGGUUAUAAAAGUAUAUGGUUUCUUCUCGAGCUCAGUGGUUAAUAGCACGGUCGGCUAGGUUUGUGAUGCUGUUGAAGUAGCAGGAAGGAACGUUAUGAAAACAUCUUCAACCUAUCAUGACUAUUGAAAUUUGUGAUCAAAUGUAUGGAGCAAAGACAUCAGAGGUGAAAAACGCAGGGCUUCAAGCAUGCGCGCGUGCCCUUGGAACGGCUUGAACAGUUUUCAAGAUCAGACAAUCUAUUAUCCCAUAGAGUGCACUAAAUCCAUCAUCCCUGGCUAAAACCGCAAUUAAAACGGCUUUUAAAGAAAAUAAGAAGGGGAAAAAGAGUAAGUAUAUGUUGUGUUGUUUGUACAUCAGUCUCAUUGCCUUAGUGCAGAAGCACUAGCAGAUUAGAAAGAUUACGGUUUUGGUUUUUGUUGUCGGGGCAUGUAAUUUGCCUUCUUUGAGAAUCAAUAGAGUUAUACAAACAUGGAUACAUUUUAAAAAUAUUGGGUUUGUUUGUCAUCAUUUUCUUAAAUAUUGGGUUUCUUUGAGUAGUGAAUGUUCUU